rnacentral:rRNA from 1 species
AUUGAACGCUGGCGGCAUGCCUUACACAUGCAAGUCGAACGGCAGCGGGGGAGAAGCUUGCUUUUCCUGCCGGCGAGUGGCGAACGGGUGAGUAAUACAUCGGAACGUGCCCUGUAGUGGGGGAUAACUAGUCGAAAGAUUAGCUAACACCGCAUACGACCUGAGGGUGAAAGUGGGGGACCGCAAGGCCUCAUGCUAUAGGAGCGGCCGAUGUCUGAUUAGCUAGUUGGUGGGGUAAAGGCCUACCAAGGCGACGAUCAGUAGCUGGUCUGAGAGGACGAUCAGCCACACUGGGACUGAGAGACGGCCCAGACUCCUACGGGAGGCAGCAGUGGGGAAUUUUGGACAAUGGGCGAAAGCCUGAUCCAGCAAUGCCGCGUGUGUGAAGAAGGCCUUCGGGUUGUAAAGCACUUUUGUCCGGAAAGAAAUGGCUCUGGUUAAUACCUGGGGUCGAUGACGGUACCGGAAGAAUAAGGACCGGCUAACUACGUGCCAGCCGCCGCGGUAA